rnacentral:lncRNA from 1 species
GAGAGGAAACAACCUCACAAGAACAAAUGUUCAUUAACAAUUUUUGCAAAAGUCCCUUUACAAUGAAAUGUGCAAACUAUUUAUAGGCUAAUAAGUAGUAGCCGAAUGGUCAAACUAAUAACUUAAAGACUAAUUAAAUUCAGCUGUGAAUGCACCAGAAUAAUCUAGAACAAGUCUUUAAUGUGCUAGGACUAAAUUCGGCUGAUGGGAACUCCAUUGGACAGCUUCAUGUGUAAGCAAAGCAUCUUGGAUGAAUGUGUAGUCUUGGGAACUCAAUAGCUUGUCUAGAUUCGGCCAUGGAAGGAAUGAAUCAAUCAAAAAGUGUCUCUUGGCUGAAUAGGUGCUUAGGGAAGUCAUUUGGACAGCAAACAAUUCAUGUAUUUCACCCACAUACAUUCGGCCAUGCAUGAACUAGAAGGGAGUUUGAAUCUGGCCGUACAUGAAAAUGCAAUAAAUGCCUUCAUUCAUGCAUGUGUACCGUCCAAAGCGAAUGUAUCUUCUUAAUCCACAUGCAUGUAAUUAACCUCCCAUGUACAUGAACUUAAUUCCCUCCAAGCAUUGAACCAG